UGCAUCGAUGAAGAACGCAGCGAAAUGCGAUACGUAGUGUGAAUUGCAGAAUUCCGCGAAUCAUCGAGUCUUUGAACGCAAGUUGCGCCCGAGGCUUGUCCGAGGGCAUUUCCGCUAGAGCGUCACCGCGCCCCCCACCGAUCCGCUCCCGCCGCGAGGCGCCAGUCGGUUCGAGUGGAAGUGGCCGUCCCGGUCGCGGCCUUCGCGAGGAGGCCUCGAGCGAGUCAGGGUCGGCUGAAAUGGACGGAAUUGGGCCGCCGUGGUGACACAGUCCGCGAUCGGGUGAUUUUUCGCGAGCCUCCUCCGGGAGGGUCGCCGUGGAUUUUUCUAAGUGCGUGACUGCGUCCCCCAGUUGGUUUCGGUUACCUCGUGCAGGUCGUGCGCGCCCCCCGCGGCGCGCGUCACGCAUCAGACCUCUAAUCGGAAAAG
rnacentral:rRNA from 1 species